rnacentral:ribozyme from 13 species
UUUUUUUUUUUUGUUUGAAAGUUUGGUUUUUAUUCUGGUGCGGGAAGGAAGAAAGAGUUUUUUUUUUAUACAACGAGGAAAAAAAAAAAAGAAGACAAAACAAAAAGAAAAACAACAACUCUCUUUUUUGCCUUCCUCUUCUUCUUCCAAAGUUUGAAAAAGAAAGAAAGACA